rnacentral:rRNA from 1 species
ACGGCUGCUCAGUACCGCGUAGUCAACCUACCCUAUGGACAAGAAUAAUCUCGGGAAACUGAGCAUAAUUCUUGAUAGAUCAUAAUGCCUGGAAUGGUUUAUGGUUAAAAUGAUUCGUCGCCAUAGGAUGGGACUGCGGCCUAUCAGCUUGUUGGUGAGGUAAUGGCCCACCAAGGCGAUAACAGGUACGGGCUCUGAGAGGAGAGGCCCGGAGAUGGGUACUGAGACAAGGACCCAGGCCCUAUGGGGCGCAGCAGGCGAGAAAACUUUGCAAUGUGCGAAAGCACGACAAGGUUAGUCCGAGUGAUUUCUGCUAAAGAGAUCUUUUGCUAGUCAUAAAACCACUAGUGAAUAAGGGGUGGGCAAGUUCUGGUGUCAGCCGCCGCGGUAAAACCAGCACCUCAAGUGGUCAGGAUGAUUAUUGGGCCUAAAGCAUCCGUAGCCGACUCUGUAAGUUUUCGGUUAAAUCUAUGCGCUCAACGUAUGGGCUGCCGAAAAUACUGCAGAGAUAGGGAGUGGGAGAGGUAGACGGUACCCGGUAGGAAGGGGUAAAAUCCUUUGAUCUAUCGAUGACCACCUGUGGCGAAGGCGGUCUACCAGAACACGUUCGACGGUGAGGGAUGAAAGCUGGGGGAGCAAACCGGAUUAGAUACCCGGGUAGUCCCAGCUGUAAACGAUGCAGACUCGAUGAUGCAUUGGCAUAUAGCCAGUGCAGUGUCGCAGGGAAGCCGUUAAGUCUGCCGCCUGGGAAGUACGUACGCAAGUAUGAAACUUAAAGGAAUUGGCGGGGGAGCAGAAG